CCAGGUUCAAGCGAUUCUCCUGCCUCAGCCUCCUGAGUAGCUGGGAUUACAGGCACACGCCAUCAUGCCCAGCUAAUUUUUCGUGUUUUUUUUUUUGUUGUUGUUGUUGUUUGUUUUGUUUUUUUGAGACGAAGUUUCGCUCUUGUUACCCAGGCUGGAGUGCAAUUGCGAGAUCUCGGCACACGGCAACCUCCAUCUCCCAGGUUAAAGCAAUUCUCCUGCCUCAGCCUCUCGAGUACCUGGGAUUACAGGCAUGUGCCACCACGCCUGGCUAAUUUUGUAUUUUUAGUACAGACAGGGUUUUUCCAUGUUGGUCAGGCUGGUCUCCAACUCCCGGCCUCAGGUGAUCCGCCCGCCUCAGCCUCCCAAAGUGCUGGAAUUACAGGCGUGAGCUACCGAGCCCGGCUCAUUUUUGCAUUUUUGUAGAGACGGGAUUUCACCAUGUUGGCCAGGCUGGUCUUGAAGUCCUGACCUCAGGUGAUCCACCCGCCUCGGCCUCCCAAAGUGCUGGGAUUACAAGAGUGAGCCCAGGUCUGAGAGCACCCCCUCCAGAGCCUCCCUGAUCUCCCAAAAUUUGGUGGAGAUCUAAAGUUUAUUUUGCUGUACAACUCUUUUCUUUGCAGUUUUACUUGCUUCCAACAAGGAAGGCAAGGUUUCCUGCUUCCAUGACAAUGGAAGGCAGGUAACUCCUUUAUGGAGUUUGAGCUCGCUUCCAACAGGGAAGAUGAGGUCUUUUUUCCUGCUUCUAGAAUGGUAGAGAGCAGUCUACAGCCUAAGACCCAUCCCUAGGACACAGUUGGAGAAACAAGGCUUUGACUGGAAUGGUGUGCUUUCCUUUAAGGGAUCAAACUUGACUUAUGGAGCAAAUAAAAGCCCCUUGGAAAAACUGGCCUCAUACCUCUGCCUACACAGUCCCUGUACAGGAUUCCUGACCUGUGUCACCAAAAACUAAGCUAUGCUUUCAUAAAGCCCUGCAAACUGAAGCUAGACAACUUAAACUUCAGAAGAAAAUAACAGCAACCUAUUUACAAACAUAAGACAUUUUCAUCCCUGCCUACUGAUGUAUGGACUUCAGGGUAAUGUGGCCUAUAUCAAUUUUCCAGGAUUGUUCUUUUGUUUGUUAUUGCUUUUCUCCCUUCCUCCCCCGUUUUCUCUUCAUAGGACAUGAGACUUCACAACCUGCUAAAAAUGAGCCUUCCUAAUAACUUGGGACCUACCUGUCUAGGAAUAAACCAUUCUAGCCAUGAAAGAUCAGAUGAAACCUGAGAGCAGAGACUCAUUUUCUUCUUCUUUUUUUUUUUUUGUUUUCUUGAGACAGAGUCUCACUCUGUCGCCCAGGCUGGAGUGCAGUGGCCUGAUCUCGGCUCACUGCAAGCUCCGCCUCCCAGGUUCACGCCAUUCUCCUGCCUCAGCCUCCCGAGUAGCUGGGACUACAGGCGCCCGCCACCGCACCCGGCUAAUUUUUUGUAUUUUUAGUAGAGAUGGGGUUUCGCUGUGUUAGGUUGGUCUCGAUCUCCUGACCUCGUGAUCCACCCGCCUCGGCCUCCCAAAGUGCUGGGAUUACAAGCGUGAGCCACCGUGCCCGGCCUGAGACUCAUUUUCUUCUAAAAAUGCUUUCUCCAAAAGAUUUUUAAAAAGAAAAGGGGGAAAGUGUGAUAGAAAAAUAAAUCUUGAGGCCCCAAAAUCAUGAAGCUAAAGGGAAAAGUCAAGCUGGGAACUGCUUAGGGCCAACCUGCCUCUCAUGCUAUUCAAAGUCGCCCCGCUGCUCACUGAGAUAAAUGCAUAUCUGAUUGUCUUCUUUGGAGAGGCUCAUCAGAAACUGAAAAGAAUGCAAGCAUUUGUCACUUAUCUACCUGUGACCUGGCAGGCCCCCUCCCCACUUCAAGUCUUCCCACCUUUGCUUCGAGUUGUCCCGCCUUUCCAGACAGAACCAGUGUUCAUCUUGCAUAUGCUGACUGAUGUCUCAUGUCUCUCUAGAAGGUGUAAAACCAAACUCUGCUCUGACCACCUUGGGCACAUGUCAGGACCUCCUGAGUCUGUGUCGUGGGCACACGUACUUAACCUUCGCAAAAUUAACUUUCUAAAUGAAUUGAGACCUAACAUUCUCUGGGUUCACACAUUACAGAGAAAUACAUAUUGUAUAUAAUAUUUGUAUAAUAAAAGGUAUUAUGCUGGGCGCAGUGACUCACACUUGUAAUCCUAG
rnacentral:lncRNA from 1 species